GUCCGUUGUAGUCUAGUUGGUUAGGAUACUCGGCUCCCACCCGAGCGACCCGGGUUCAUGUCCCGGCUAUGGGUC